rnacentral:rRNA from 2 species
UGGGGAAUAUUGGACAAUGGGCGAAAGCCUGAUCCAGCAAUGCCGCGUGAGUGAUGAAGGCCUUAGGGUCGUAAAGCUCUUUUACCAGGGAUGAUAAUGACAGUACCUGGAGAAUAAGCUCCGGCUAACUCCGUGCCAGCAGCCGCGGUAAUACGGAGGGAGCUAGCGUUGUUCGGAAUUACUGGGCGUAAAGCGCGCGUAGGCGGUUACCCAAGUCAGAGGUGAAAUCCCGGAGCUCAACUCCGGAACUGCCUUUGAAACUAUGUAACUAGAAUCUUGGAGAGGCGAGUGGAAUUCCGAGUGUAGAGGUGAAAUUCGUAGAUAUUCGGAAGAACACCAGUGGCGAAGGCGACUCGCUGGACAAGUAUUGACGCUGAGGUGCGAAAGCGUGGGGAGCAAACAGG